GAGGGGCGCGGGCCUGGCCGGCGCGCUCCUUCCGGGCUCAGACGCCCUCCCCUCGCCCCUCCGCCUCGCCGCUGCCAGGGGCGGGGUCGCCGCUCGGCCCGCUACGGUCCUCGGCCUUCCAGGCGAAGGGCAAGAGCGAGCCCUGGCGGACCGUGCGUAGGGGUGCAGAGACCUGGAUGCGGCCUGCGAUCUCCUUCCCCGCCCCGGCGUUCUCCGCCCACCCGGGGUCCUUCCCGCCAAAACCUCUCACCUACAAGUACAGCGCGCCCUAAAUUUGGCACCAGCAAAGAACUGUGGCUGAGCAAUGCGUUGCUCACAGGCUCCUUUCUUUGUGUUUUUUUCUCUUCUCGUUGCUAUAUAUAACAAAACCCUCCACGUUUUGAUGUCUCCGAGGAGUCAUUCUGACAGCAGUGCGGUCGCUGAUAGACUCACAGAAUGUCAAUGUCAGCGCUGAAGAGAUCUUGGAGAUCACUUAAUCCAGAGAUUUGGAGCCUCAUGCGAACUUCGGAGUCCGGAACCCCCUAAAACACAGGCCAGUUUUUGCUUAUGACGAAGCAGACCGCAAGGAAUAAAGGGAAUUGCCAAGGUCACACAGGCAAUGGUAGAGUGCAAGAUGGCUUUUGGGCCCUCCAGUGCUCACUGUGCUUCUGCUUUUCACUCUCCCCAAGCAAUACCUUACUCUACCAUGAGAUGUCCCAACGUUGGCCAGCCUUGCUGGUGUGUAACUGCUUCGUCAUUAGCAAGAGUGCAGGAGAGAAUGUGGAAGGCACGGCACAAUCUAACAGUGCUUUGGAAAAACAACUAAACAGAUGUUUCCACUAACAGUGGAUAAGAAGCACUUCCUUCCUACAGAUCUGUGCUCAGUUCUCUGCAUACAGAUCUGAGUUCUCAGUUCCACUAAGAUAACCAAACAACUGAUGAAGGGGAAGACUCAAGUUAAUAAAAAAGAAAGGAUAGAAGUAGAAUAUCACCAUUUUGCAGUCUUCAAAGAGGUAAUGACCUCUUUCAAAGAAGCAAUGAUCAUCAGUGACUAACAACAGCAGAAAAAGAAACAAUGGAUAUCAUGGACCUCCUGCUAGACACUACCACAGUGCAGUGGUCUUGUGGGGAGUGUUGGGAGCAGUUCACAAGACUGCUCUUACUUCUGGCAUCAACUGCAAGUUUGAGGAUUCUCAAAAACCACACAAUUUUGAUAAUUUGCUAGAAGGACUUGAAGUCACUAAAAGUUGUUAUCCUAAUGGUUAUGAUUUAUCACAACUAAAGGAUACAGAUUAAAGGUAGUCCAGGAAAAAAAUCAUGUAAGGCAAAGUCUAGAAAAGUUCCAUAUAUGGAUGUUCCAGUUAUCUUCUCCCUGUGGAGUUAUAUGCACCAUUACUUUCCCAUUAUCAGUGUAUGACCAUAUGCACAGAUUAUUGCCAAGCACCUGAGCCUUCCUGUCCAGAUAUUUAUUUGGUUGGCUGCCCACAUGACUUCUCCAUCUCCAGCCCCUCCAGAGCUGAUUGCUGAGUAUGUGUGACCCAAACCUCCCACUCUGUAUCACGUCAUUACACUAUCCAGUUUAAUCAAGGCCUGCACACAAACAAAACCACUCCUAUCAUGAAACUCCAAGGGUUUAGAAAUUACACCCCCAAAUAGAGGGCAAAGGCCAGACCCCUUUUUGGACAAGAUUAUAGUCUUUUCUACACAUCUUGCAAAACAAACAAACAAAAAAGAUUGAGCCUGAAUCUGAUUAAGCCUUUAGAUUCAACUAACAAUUUACAGGAAACACAGGGAUAAAGAACCUUUUAAGUGAUACCAUAGCAAAUUCAGGCCAAUUGACCUGGUAUCUUUAACAAAAAGUUGCAAGAGAAACCUAUAAAUUAAAGUAGAAUUAAAAUACAUAUUGCUCAGUUGCAAUGUAUUGUACCAUAUUUGGAUCCUGAUUUAAAUAAUGAAGUUGAAAGUACUCAGAAUUAGGGUAAUGUGAACUCUGGUUGAAUAUUUUAUGAUGUUAAGGCAUUAAUUUUUGCAUUAGAUAAUUGUUAUGAUCAUGUUUAAAGAUCACAAAAAGAAUCUUUAUCUUUUAGAGAUUCAUACUGAAAUAUUUACAGAUGAAAUGACUUAAUGUGUGGGAUUUGCUUCAAAAUAACCUGGGGAUGAGUUGGUAGUAGGUGGGGUUUUGGAUGGAAUGAGACUGGCCAUGUGCUGUAAGAAAACAAAAAAAAUUGGGUUGUAUGUUAGUUCACAUGUUCAUGCUUUCCAUUUUGAAACAUGUAACAUGUAUAUGUGAUAGAGCCUGUGGGACUCAGGAGGUCUUCACUGAGCCUUGCUUUUCUGCUAAGGUACUUGUGUACAAUAGACUGUUCUUAUUUGUUCACCUCUUCAUUUUCUCUGGGCCUUUGAGGGAGCAGAUGUUGAUUAUUUCAGUUGCAAGCUGGAACUAGUAUGCAUAGUGGUUGAGGCUAUACAGUUGUUGCGAAGAGAUAUAGAUGCAUACACAAGAUAAUGGAUAUGUUUUGUCUAUUGAUUUUUCUUAAUUUUUUUUUUUUUUUUAAUAGAAAUGAGGCCAAUGUUGCCCAGGCCAGUCUCGAACUCAUGGACUCAGGCCAUCCGCUUAUCUUGGCCUACCCAAAGUGCUGGGAUUACCGGUGUGAGCCACUGCACCUGGCCCCAUUUAUUUUUCAAGAGAAGCAUUAUAGUUUUACUAAGAUGGUAAACUUAAUGUAGAUAAACAUUACCUUGUAAUAUUCUGGUAAGAUCAAUAUAUUUUGAAGUUAAAAUUUAAAGCCUCAUGUUUGCCAUUUAAGGAUAUAUGUUUAUUUUUGUAUGUUUAAAUGUAUUUUGUAUGCCUAAAUAGUGGAAUAUUAAAUUUAUUGAGCAAAGGGAACUUUAAGUGAUAAGGAGGAGAAAGCCAAGUAUUUCAGAAGAACAUUGAGCUUUGAGGAUACGAUCUCAACUUGUUAAUACUAACAAGCCUAUUCGUCCAUUUUCACACUGCUAUAAAGAAAUGCCUAUGAGGCCGGGCAUGGUGGCUCACACCUGUAAUCCCGGCACU